GUUAGAGCUAAUUAUCAGUUAAAAUGAAUACUUAAAAAAACAUUUUGAGAGUGUAUUCUAUUGAUAAAAAGAAGGGACCUCAUAAUAUUAUUUUUUUUUGUAGAAAUAUGAAGGCAAUAUGAAGUUUGGACUAAUGACUCUAUGGAAGUUGAUUCUUUGAAAACUCCAUGACCUUAGACAGUAACGAUGUUUAGUUACUCAGCUGAAGUUAUUAUUCUACGUAAACAGGUCUGAGCGGAAGAAGCUGAUAACUCUAAGUAUGUAUCUGGGAAGAUGGGGCUGAGUCAGAGCUCAGUGACCUUCUCAACACCAUCUGGGAAAUCUUUCUGUCAGCUAGGCAGAAGGAUGAGUCAUCCAGGGGGUGGAAAAAAAACACCCACUGUAUUUUAUUAGUGGAAAAUUUGUCAUCCUGGU
rnacentral:lncRNA from 1 species